AUUGUUGCUCAUGAGAUGUCACUUAAGGAUAAAGAGGAACUUCACAACAAAUCAAGUGGUGCCUAUAAAGCCUCAUGUGAAGCCCCUACAUCAUCAAGUGAGAAACAAGACUUCAAUGAAGAAUUGAGCUUAAUGGUGAAGAACUUCAACAAGUUCUACAAGAGUAGAAGCAAAGAUAGAAGCUUCAAGUCAAGGUCCUACAAUGACAAAAGAUCUUCUAGUCGAGAGCGAAACUGCUACAAUUGUGGAAGACCCGGACACUAUUCCAAUGAGUGUACGACUCCCUACAAGAGAAGAGAAGAUUCUCCAAAAAGAAGAAGCAAAGGAUCACCACCAAGAGAGAGAAGGAGUAGAGAUGAUCGUUAUGAACAAAGAUACUCACGAAGAAGCAAGGAUUCGGAAAGGAAGGAAAAAUCAUCAAGGAGCUAU
rnacentral:rRNA from 1 species